CGAAAGUUACGCUAAUACCGCAUACGAUCUAAGGAUGAAAGCGGGGACCGUAAGGCCUCGCGCGAUUGGAGCGGCCGAUAUCAGAUUAGGUAGUUGGUGGGGUAAAGGCUCACCAAGCCAACGAUCUGUAGCUGGUCUGAGAGGACGACCAGCCACACUGGAACUGAGACACGGCCCAGACUCCUACGGGAGGCAGCAGGUGGGGAAUACUGGAACAAGUGGGGGCAACCCUGAUCCAGCCAUGCCGCGUGAGUGAAGAAGGCCUUCGGGUUGUAAAGCUCUUUCGACGGGGACGAUGAUGACGGUACCCGUAUAAGAAGCCCCGGCUAACUUCGUG
rnacentral:rRNA from 1 species